rnacentral:rRNA from 1 species
AUUGAACGCUGGCGGCAGGCCUAACACAUGCAAGUCGAACGAGUGGCGGACGGGUGAGUAAUGUCUGGGAAUCUGCCUGGUAGUGGGGGAUAACGUCCGGAAACGGGCGCUAAUACCGCAUACUAUCAGAUGAGCCAAGGUCGGAUUAGCUAGUUGGUGGGGUAAAGGCCCACCAGGGCGACGAUCCGUAACUGGUCUGAGAGGAUGAUCAGUCACACGGGAACGGAGACACGGUCCAGACUCCUACGGGAGGCAGCAGUGGGGAAUAUUGGACAAUGGGCGAAAGCCUGAUCCAGCCAUGCCGCGUGUAUGAAGAAGGCCUUCGGGUUGUAAAGUACUUUCAGCGAGGAGGCGUUACUCGCAGAAGAAGCACCGGCUAACUCCGUGCCAGCCGCCGCGGUAAUAC